CGGGCGUGAAGUGUAAUGGCUAGCACAGAUCGUUUGGGACGAUCGAGAGCGGUUCGAUUCCGACACACCCGAC
rnacentral:tRNA from 1 species